UACUGUGUGUCAAUCUUCUUGUUAGAAGAUAGGUUACUUUCAUGUAUUCAAAAGUACUUGUUGAAUAACAGUUUCUCUCAGGCAAUGUUCAAGGCUCACACUAUUGAACAGCCAUGGAUCCCUUUCUAAUGGACUUUACACAGACAACAAAUAAUAAACAUUGAAGGGGUAAGGAUAAGAAAAUGUACCAAUACAUAGGGAAGUCUCCUAAACCAGAAUGCACCUGCCCCAAUUGGAAAUAAUGGUCUUUGAAUGCAGUAUAUGCAAUUUACACUUAUGAAAAGAAUCUGAACACCUACAGCUGUCAAUAAGGAAUUGUGUGAGGAUCACACUGCUGGACAGUGACUUGGGGAGCUGACCCAUGGCCUUGAAGGAGGUGACUCCAUGCAUUAAGUUACAACAGAAGCAGACUGUCAUGAAGCAUGAAAAUACUUGCACAAGCCCAGUCAGUCCCUUCAAGUCCCAUCAGCUAUUGCUAAAGUCAUCAUGGCAACAGAGUAAAAAGGCAACAACUCUAUAACUCUAUAACCAAGGACCCCAAAUGCAUAGACUAGGUGGGAACUUUCUUGGUUCUCACAGUGAAGUGCCAAUUUAAAUGUAUUAUACAUUUGACAAUGAGAUGCAUUUAGAACUGCCUAAGGAAAUAGUACAGAUGAUGGAAAUAAAGGAAUGACAACCAUUUCUUGUGUACCUACUCUGUUCUAGUUAUUGAUCUAUUUGCAUCAUAAAAUC